rnacentral:lncRNA from 1 species
GAGCCGAUCUGUUCUACCACACUGGAAAAACAGACCGUAACACCAUCCAAGUUGUGUUGGUAGAGAAGGGUCCUUACAAAGGCGUGAUCACCGAUGUACUACAGCACCUAAAAAGCCAGAUCUUAAACGAUCAGUCCUUAGGAUUAUCCCUAGCACGACUUUCGCUGGCAGGCGAUCCGUACGACCCGGAAGCAAUAUUUUCUACUUUUAGAUCAUUCCUGAUGAUAGUGCUACUGGUCAUUGUUGGUUACAUUUGUUUUAUAGUGUAUAAUUCCAACAUAAACUUCGUUCAACUAUUCAGAUCGUCGAACCUCGCAAAUUUCGUCAGGUUUGAAAAUGUAACAGGUGAGGUUGAGCUGCGGUAUGAAGUUCAGCCUACAUUUAGGAAAUCUUUCCGCAACCCUCUCUCUUCCCUUCUGCAGACUGCCUCUGGGAGCGAGGAACAAUCAGAGCCGGAGCUACAUGUCCCGGAGGAACCGACGAUUUCUUACAAUAACUUGGCCCUUGAAAAUUCUGAAUCUGAACCUGAGCAAGAAAGUGGAGACGUCGAGAUGAAUGAAAUGGCAGCUAAUAAAUCGGAAGAGAAACAAUUGCAUGAUAUUGAUUUAAGCUGAACGAGUAUGUGUGUUUAUUUUAUCAACACAAAGUUUUUACAGGAGUCUUCAUAAUUUAUGCUUUGUGAACUUAUGUAUAGAUGUUACAAAAAGGUAUUUUUGGGAGUCUGAAGGUCUCAGCAACUCGCAGUGAACAUUUUUUUCGUACCGCGGAACUAGCCAACUCCGUGCCUUGGUUUUUUUAAUUACACGCUAACUGACUAAAUUUAUUCAUUUCAACAUUUUUAUUGAUGAAUUUACGCAGAGUUUACAUUCAAUUUUUGCCUUUCUGACAGAAUUCUGAAAAGUUCCAUGAAUGUUAGGUAGGUACGAGGUUCGUCAAUUGCGAAAUGUUAUGGAGUACAAAAAGUAAAAACUUUCUUCAUCAGCUACAUGCCAGUGGAGGGUCAUAUUAGAACCAAUUCACAAAUAUUGACCUCCUGACCCAAUGUUGUAGCCCUGAGUAUUUUCAUGACAAUUUGGUACACUCUUACCUAGGAACCCGACUGGCUAUUUCUCCUGGUCUGCUAAUUCGUCUCUAUAAAGUUUUUUUCUAGAAUAUUGAGUCGAUAAAUUCAAGAAUUUGUAUACAUAUUGACCGACCAUCGCCAGAAUAUUUUGAUCCUAACUGAGUACACUUUUAUCUGUGAGCUCGAACUUUCGAUUAGAUUAUCUAUUGAAAAUUCAGUCUUUUCAAUAUUAAGUCAAUAAAUUCAAGAAUAUGCAUAAAUAUUGACCUAACAUUGCCUGAAUAUUUUGAUAUUAUCUUUAGCAUCAGUUACAGCAUACCCUUGCCUGGAAUCUGUACCGGCUAUGUCUUUUCGGACGAUUUGUCAGUUGAAAGUUUAGUCUCUACAAUAGUUAGUCAAUAAAUUGAAUACUUUUGCUCAAUAUUGCUAAACGAAUAUUGCCCGAAUAUUUUGUUCUUAACUGGGUACACUCUUACCUAAGUGCUCGACCUUUCAAUUAGAUUGUCUGUUGAAAAUUCAGUCUCUUCAAUAUUAAAUCAAUAAAUUCAAAGAUUUGCACAAUAUUGUUAACUCACACUGAAAAAUAAUCCAGUUUUCUGGAUUUUAAGGCACGUUGGAAGCGUUGACUACAUCU